AUUGAACGCUGGCGGCAGGCCUAACACAUGCAAGUCGAACGGUAACAGGAAGCAGCUUGCUGCUUUGCUGACGAGUGGCGGACGGGUGAGUAAUGUCUGGGAAACUGCCUGAUGGAGGGGGAUAACUACUGGAAACGGUAGCUAAUACCGCAUAACGUCGCAAGACCAAAGAGGGGGACCUUCGGGCCUCUGGCCAUCGGAGGUGCCCAGAUGGGAUUAGCUAGUAGGUGGGGUAACGGCUCACCUAGGCGACGAGCCCUAGCUGGUCUGAGAGGAUGACCAGCCACACUGGAACUGAGACACGGUCCAGACUACUACGGGAGGCAGCAGUGGGGAAUAUUGCACAAUGGGCGCAAGCCUGAUGCAGCCAUGCCGCGUGUAUGAAGAAGGCCUUCGGGUUGUAAAGUACUUUCAGCGGGGAGGAAGGGAGUAAAGUUAAUACCUUUGCUCAUUGACGUUACCCGCAGAAGAAGCACCGGCUAACUCCGUG
rnacentral:rRNA from 1 species